UCGGGAAUUUUGGGCAAUGGGCGCAAGCCUGAUCCAGCCAUGCCGCGUGAGUGAUGAAGGCCUUAGGGGUGUAAAGCUCUUUUGCCGGGGACGAUAAUGACGGUACCCGGAGAAUAAGUCCCGGCUAACUUCGUUCCAGCAGCCGCGGUAAUACGAAGGGGACUAGCGUUGUUCGGAAUCACUGGGCGUAAAGCGCACGUAGGCGGAUUUGUGAGUCAGGGGUGAAAUCCCGGGGCUCAACCUCGGAACUGCCUUUGAUACUGCGAAUCUUGAGUCCGAUAGAGGUGGGUGGAAUUCCUAGUGUAGAGGUGAAAUUCGUAGAUAUUAGGAAGAACACCGGUGGCGAAGGCGGCCCACUGGAUCGGUACUGACGCUGAGGUGCGAAAGCGUGGGGAGCAAAC
rnacentral:rRNA from 1 species